rnacentral:rRNA from 1 species
CAAAUCUUAAAUUGAAGAGUUUGAUCAUGGCUCAGAUUGAACGCUGGCGGCAGGCCUAACACAUGCAAGUCGAGCGGUAGC